rnacentral:ribozyme from 13 species
ACCAAGAUAAGAAACCAUCAAAACAACAUGACGAAUACUAUAUUUUGACAUGUCCAACUCUCUUCCUUUCUUUUUCUCUUUCUUUUUCUUGUUUCCUUUCUCUUUUUCUUUCUC